CCAUCGGUGGUUCAGUGGUAGAAUGCUCGCCUGCCACGCGACCGGCGCGGGUUCGAUUCCCGGCCGAUGCA
rnacentral:tRNA from 1 species